rnacentral:tRNA from 1 species
AGAUGAUAAAUGGUGAACCAUAUUUAUUUACGGAGUAAAUUGAGAAAGUUGUCUU